AGAGUUUGAUCCUGGCUCAGAACGAACGCUGGCGGCGUGGCUAAGGCAUGCAAGUCGAGCGAACCUUUUUGCGGGGUAACCCAAGAUUAGGUUAGCGGCGAACGGGUGAGUAAUGCAUGGAUAACGUACCCCGAACUCAGGGAUAGCGGCGGAUCUUCGGUUCCUUUGCGAAAGCGCCGGUAAUACUCGAUGACCCCGUUGGAUCGCAUGGUCUGACGGGCAAAGCUCCGACGGUCCCAGAUCGGUUCAUGUCCUAUCAGCUUGUUGGCGGGGUAACGGCCCACCAAGGCUUCGACGGGUAGCGGGCGUGAGAGCGCGAUCCGCCACAUCGGGACUGAGACACGGCCCGGACACCUACGGGUGGCUGCAGCAACGAAUAUUCCGCAAUGGACGAAAGUCUGACGGAGCGACGCCGCGUGCAGGAAGAAGCCCCUCGGGGUGUAAACUGCUGUCAGGGGUUAGAAAGAUCUGAUCAACCCCAAAGGAAGCACUGGCUAACUCCGUGCCAGCAGCCGCGGUAACACGGAGAGUGCAAGCGUUAUUCGGAAUUACUGGGCUUAAAGCGCGUGCAGGCGGGAUAUCAGGUGUCGUGUGAAAACCCUAGGCUCAACCUGGGAAUGGCAUGGCAAACCGGUAUUCUUGAGGCAGGUAGAGGCGACCGGAACGACUGGUGGAGCGGUGAAAUGCGUAGAUAUCAGUUGGAACGCCGGUGGCGAAAGCGGGUCGCUGGACCUGUCCUGACGCUGAGACGCGAAAGCGUGGGGAGCGAAGAGGAUUAGAUACCCUCGUAGUCCACGCCGUAAACGAUGCAUACUAGGUAUGAGAGGUUCUGACGCCGAUCGUGCCGUAGCUAAAGUGUUAAGUGCGCCGCCUGGGGAGUACGGCCGCAAGGCUAAAACUCAAAGGAAUUGACGGGGGCUCACACAAGCGGUGGAGCAUGUGGAUUAAUUCGAAGCAACGCGAAGAACCUUACCUGGGUUUGACAUGUAUGGAUGCCCUUUAGGAAACUAGAGUAAGCUGUCUUCGGAUGAAACAUACACAGGUGCUGCAUGGCUGUCGUCAGCUCGUGCUGUGAAGUGUCGGGUUAAGUCCCUUAACGAGCGAAACCCCUAUCGUUAGUUGCCAGCGGGUAAUGCCGGGAACUCUAGCGAGACCGCCGGUGUUAAACCGGAGGAAGGCGGGGACGACGUCAAGUCAUCAUGGCCCUUAUGCCCAGGGUGUCACACGUGCUACAAUGGUCGGUACAGAGCGACGCGAGAUCGAGAGAUGGAGCAAAUCGCCGAAAGCCGGCCUCAGUUCGGAUUGGAGUCUGCAACUCGACUCCAUGAAGUUGGAAUCGCUAGUAAUCGCGGAUCAGCCAUGCCGCGGUGAAUAUGUUCCUGAGCCUUGUACACACCGCCCGUCAAGUCAUGGAAGCUGGGAGUACCCGAAGUCCGUUUAGCUAACCCGCAAGGGAUGCGACGGCCGACGGUAAGCCCGGUGACUGGGACUAAGUCGUAACAAGGUAGCCGUAGGGGAACCUGCGGCUGGAUCACCUCCUU
rnacentral:rRNA from 1 species